CAAUGUCAAAUGAUAACAUAAUGUCACCGAUAGGCUGUAAUCACAUUUCAUGACCAUGAAUGCCAAACACACUUUAGCUUUUGAAUAUGUGAACUAUUUUGAAAGGAACUAGUCACUGAAAGGAAAAUGGACACUGUAAAAAUGUAGCCUUUAUGUUCAAAAUAACAAGAGUCACCGUUUAUGCAUAUAAUAAUACAUAUAAUUAGACAACAGGAAAGAUGAGUGAGGUCAGUGCAAAAUUAAACAUGAGCCGUCGGUGUUCUUUCUUUCAAAUAGGACGUGAAAUUAACUUUAAAAUGUGUACCAUAGACAGUGCCAGCAGAGGUCAGUAACACACAGUAAAUUAUAUACACAGCAAUUUUGCUCUUUAACUACUGUGCACUGAAUAAUGUGUUUCACCAGACUGUUCCCAAGAAGAAAUCUGUUAGCAGAACAUGAGGUCAGCCACUGGGACGUGUUUUUCUGUUUUGAUGUUCUCUCAUUCUGACCUUUCCUGUACAAUCUAUCACCUAAACAGAGCUAAGGCAACAGUUCCUCCACUUCUCCGUUCCACCCUACUUGCUGUGAACACAGCUGGUAUCUUUAAAAUGCUAAACUAUCCCCACCUUUUGCUUUAGGGCCCAUUCACCACUGAGAAUCCAAGAAUGCAUUCAGCCUUUUACAGAGACCGUUGCCAUAGAAAUACUCAGAAUCCCCUAGUAACAGCAAAUGGGUGUGGGAGUAUCAAGUCACGUGGCCAGCCUAACAGUAAACAAGCCUCAUUCAUAACACAGUUGCACACAUGGUAUAAAUUACAAGUCUGCAGCAGUGAAGACUUGAGGAAUGAUCCAAAAGGGCAAAUCACCAGCAGGCAGACUGAUCGGAAAACAUCAACAACACAGACUACAUAAGAAAAAAAAAGUACAAGAUGUUUAUUCUGUCAUGCUGAUGAAAGCGUAAAUGACAGACUUAGAAACUGCUCAAGGCGUAUCAAAACAUACAUCUGUUGUACACUGGUAUACAGCAUUUCUGGUAAAUCUGUUUUAACUGACAUAUAUUAAAGUGAUCAAUUCCUAAUUAACACUGCUACCCAUAAGGACACUUAUAAUUUACCAGUCAGCUGUCUUACCAAGAGUACUGACAACAAAGAACUGAUAAAACAUUAUUAACACUUGCAAAACCUAAACAGUCUGGAUAAUUGAAUUCAUAUUAGUUUAUUUAUAAAUAUGUAUCAGGCUAUCCCUGGAAUGAAGAAGAGCUACAAUCUAAUAGGUUUUAAGAGUAACCUUUAAAUCAAAUGGACAAUAGUUUAGUUUGAUGCUCAGUAAAGUGACAAAAUGUGGGGCAGGGUCAUAGAGGGAGUGUACAUUAGCCAUCUAAGAAGUUUCUAGUUUCCUCUGUGCAGAGGACAUGAAGAAACUGCACAUCCCAGGAUGCUUUGGGGGAAAAUGGCCUGCUAAUUUCCUGUCUAAACCAUCUCAGCUGUGAGGGAUUAGUUGCCUUCUUCCUGGGUUUAAAAGGGUGUGGCAAAAAAGUGAGGGUCUUUUGUUUGAGAAGGACUUGAAAGCUAGUCUGGUUUUGGUGACGGCUUUUUUUGGACUCUAAAAAGGACAAAUAUGCAAGUGCCAGGCAGAGGAAUCAAGACGGGUUAUCACAGGAGCUCAUCGAUGACCGCCCCACAAACAAACCAGACUGGACUACGUUACGUAGAGGAUCAGAAGGACUGCAAAAUCCCAGGACCGCUCACCUAAACACAGCCUUGUCAGCAGAAAGGGCCAAUUCACAUUCUUGUAGGCAGGAUAAGGUCAAAUUAAAAUUAAUUCCAAAAUGCA